CGUGGAAACUUGGGUGGAGUCCGUCCGUCGUGAAAAAUCCGAUCGACGCUAGUGGGGGCUUAUCCGUCAGCAAAACUUGGGAGUAUUGCGGAGGCUCGGUCGCUUAAGAGGUUUGAAGAGAUGUCGUCGGAGGUCGGAAGUCGGUUGGAUCCCCAGAGGGUCACUCCUAUCACGAACUUCGGCUGGGGGGCAUUUUAUACCCAACACCAGUCUGCCUACUUCCGAGUUCGAAUUUCGAAUGAAGGAAGUACAGAGAAAUUAUCGCAGCCGAAGUUGUCCCCUUG
rnacentral:lncRNA from 1 species